CCUACGGGAGGCUGCAGUGGGGAAUAUUGCGCAAUGGGCGAAAGCCUGACGCAGCGACGCCGCGUGAGGGAUGAAGGUCUUCGGAGCGUAAACCUCUGUCAGCAGGGAAGCACGGUCACUGUGCUAAUCAGCAGUGAAUUGACGGUACCUGCAAAGGAAGCACCGGCUAACUCCGUGCCAGCAGCCGCCGCAAUACGGAGGGUGGGAGCGUUAAUCGGAAUUACUGGGCGUAAAGCGGUCGUAGGCGGUAUGUCAAGUCAAGGGGGAAAUCCCCGCGCUCAACGUGGGCACUGCCUUUGAAACUGGCAAACUGGAGUGUGUGAGAGGAUAGUGGAAUUCGAGGUGUAGGAGUGAAAUCCGUAGAUAUCUGGCGGAACAUCAGUGGCGAAGGCGACUAUCUGGCACAUAACUGACGCUGAGGAGCGAAAGCGUGGGUAGCAAACAGGAUUAGAUACCCCUGUAGUC
rnacentral:rRNA from 1 species